AGAGAGAGGGGUGCGCUGUUCUGUGCAGAGUGGUGAAAUGGGAGGAAGGUAGACUCUGACAGGAGAGGGGUGAGGGGAUUAACGGGGACAUUGGAAGAAAGGAGAAAAGAGGAGCAUUUGUGGGAGGAGGGAGCCCCAGCCUCCCUAAGGCUGACGGCAUCCAGCAGCCACCCAUGUAUGCAGCCCUUCAUCCAACCAGCCAGUCACAGACCCAAGCACUCCUCAAGCCCACAUUUAUGAAGCACCUCCCAUCCACGGGGCAGAACAGCCAGCCUGGUGUGAGUCUGGCCACCAGGUGGCAGGUUUGGACCGUGGAAGCUGACUACUCUCUGAGCUGCCCCAGACCCGGAUCUGGAUGCCAGGAGCCAGGCAAGAACCAGCCUCAAUCCUCCCUGCAGUCUGGGACACUUCCCACACUUCUCUGCUAUCUGGAUCUGAUGCCUGGUCAUGUCAUCCCUAGCCACCCCCCAGCCACAUCAAGUCCCUCUGGGAGCCCUGGAAGGCACAGUGCCCCUAUCUAGACCUCUGAACCCCUCCCCACUCCUGCUGGAAACAGAAGAGACCUGCAGCCCCAGGGGCCAGCAUAGCCAGCAAAAUCAUCGUCAAGGGCAAGGUGUGGACAGGCAGCAGGGAAGUCAUA